rnacentral:rRNA from 1 species
AUUGAACGCUGGCGGCAGGCCUAACACAUGCAAGUCGAACGAGUGGCGGACGGGUGCGUAAUGUCUGGGAAACUGCCUGAUGGCGGGGGAUAACUACUGGAAACGGUAGCUAAUACCGCAUACCAUCGGAUGUGCCCAGAUGGGAUUAGCUAGUAGGUAGGGUAACGGCUCACCUAGGCGACGAUCCCUAGCUGGUCUGAGAGGAUGACCAGCCACACGGGAACUGAGACAGGGGCCAGACUCCUACGGGAGACAGCAGUGGGGAAUAUUGCACAAUGGGCGCAAGCCUGAUGCAGCCAUGCCGCGGAUAUGAAGAAGGCCUUGGGGUUGUAAAGUACUUUCAGCGGGGAGGCGUUACCCGCAGAAGAAGCGCCGGCUAACUCCGUGCCAGCAGCCGCGGUAAUUC